CCUACGGGUGGCUGCAGUGGGGAAUUUUGGACAAUGGGCGCAAGCCUGAUCCAGCAAUGCCGCGUGCAGGAUGAAGGCCUUCGGGUUGUAAACUGCUUUUGUACGGAGCGAAAAGGCUUCCACUAAUACUGGGGGCUCAUGACGGUACCGUAAGAAUAAGCACCGGCUAACUACGUGCCAGCAGCCGCGGUAAUACGUAGGGUGCGAGCGUUAAUCGGAAUUACUGGGCGUAAAGCGUGCGCAGGCGGUCUUGUAAGACAGGUGUGAAAUCCCCGGGCUUAACCUGGGAACUGCACUUGUGACUGCAAGGCUGGAGUACGGCAGAGGGGGAUGGAAUUCCGCGUGUAGCAGUGAAAUGCGUAGAUAUGCGGAGGAACACCGAUGGCGAAGGCAAUCCCCUGGGCCUGUACUGACGCUCAUGCACGAAAGCGUGGGGAGCAAACAGGAUUAGAUACCCCGGUAGUC
rnacentral:rRNA from 1 species